CAUUUCUUCUACUUCCUCGAGGUCAGGAGACGAGAUUUUCCCUCUUUUCAACAGCAAAUCGCGGUAAUUUCCUUCACGGUCAUCAACAUUUCUCAUUCAUCAAAAUUCUAGACGUACGCGCGAUGUGUUCGAUCUCGAUCGAUCGGCUUCGCGGAAACAAUGCGGCAUACUAGUUUCGAUCGAUCUUCCAUUGAUUUCUAUUAUAUUAUUCGCGCGAAAUUCUCUUUCUUGUUACCGAUUGUUAACCAUAGCCGCGUACUAUUCACAGAUACCCCCUACAUUUACAGUUGUGGAGUUUCAGUCAAUGGGAGUGUUGUACAUACACAUCGAACAGAUAGGCUACAGAAUCGCGUGCAAUUUCUAAAAAUACACUGAAACGAAGAAAGUAUCCGUAAACCAUGCGUUGUUACUAAGCUUAUCACACCGAUCUCCGCUCAUGAGAAAUUAUCACCGAGCGUACCUAUCCUUUUUCUUGUACUAUUAUACCCUCUCUGGCCUGACCAUUGUUUAUCUUUGGAUUUCACUGACCGUGCCAUGGCGAAUCGCCUCUGGAAAUGGAAGAGGAGGAAGCGGCUAAAACAAAAAUGUCCCUUGCAGAAUGAACGAUCUCACCUGGUCAACUCGUUCUACUACGCGUGGAAUUGCACGGAGAUGAGAGGACGGCAGCUACUCAGACAUUCCGUUCCUCGUACGAACAGGUUUCCUACCGAUUGAAGAAGAAAAAAACCACUUAGACUCGAGUAAGCUAAACAAAAUUAUUCCCGGAGAAUCGAUACGCCCGAUUUCGGCAUGAAGAGAAAGAAAUCUGUAAGCAACUGUAGUAGCAAUUACAAAAGACGUUGGAGUACCAGUGUAUCAACAUUUACGUACUAAUUAAUUAGGUAACUAUUGAAAACAUAUUGAGCCAUAUAAGAAUUCGUCAAUCGCACUGUGGGAAAGCCAAAGAUAUUACGCGAAAUGGCAUCGGGAAAGAUGGUUAGACGAGAUACUCAAAUAUCGUAGCAAGAAAUUCCACGAUGUACGCCAAAAUUCCCUAGGGGCACUCGGGUCAACAGGAAGUCAAGGCCACGCGGUCAAUUGCCCCGCGAUCCGUCGCCGUUAUAAAUAGAUACGAGCGGUCGGUAUCUACGCAUCUAUUUGCACGCAUGCUGCAAAAUCAGAAUCGAAGUUAUCUUGACCCGAGCAUAGACGGUUUUUGCUUUCCCUGGACUUUUUCGCCAGCAUGCCUCAGAAACCUUCCAUUGAUAAAAUGGCAUGUAAUGAACGUAUCGAUCGUUGAACCCCCUAACUGUUCAUUUCUAUUAAUACCAGUUUGAUGAAAAGAAUGAGUUUCUCUCAGAUAUUCCUCUAAAAAUGCUCGUUACCAUUUUAGUCACACAAGAAAAGAGACAUAAGGACACAAGGAAAGUGAAAAGUUAAGUUAAAUAAUCUCAAGUAUGAAUUAAGGAGGUAAUCUGUUAUUUCUCAAAUUUUUAUACUAACGAAACUAGCUUACAGUUAAUUUAUUCACUUGUUCUUAGAACAUAUUUCCGUUGCACGAUUUCUAAAGAACGAGUUCUUUUGAAGAAAAGGCAUUACAACUGUCCAACAUUCAGAAUGUCGUGUUCCAAAGAUAUAUCAUCGUAACAAAAUAUCAGAUAUCACAAUACAGAGAGAUCAUACAGAAGGAAAUAGUUCCUAUGAAACAAGAAGAGUACUUAUUGAUCCGGUAGGUGGUGAAUGUAGCAAGCAUGGCUUAUAAAUGCCAUUCGUUACGAAAACUACGCAUAACCGAUGCCAAUUUACUCUCCUUGACGUGGAAUCAUUAUGCAGGCCGAUUCUUUGCGAAGAGGGUCAUCAAAUAAUUUAAUGAAAUAAAUCAAUCAAAGAUACAGGCUAUUUUUAUAUUCUUCCAUGUUAAAAGACGCAAGGAUCGAUAUCACGAUAAAUUAUUCGGUGUCUUUCUGAUUUAGCCAAUGUUUUCUAAAAUCCUUUUAAACUCUUAAACAUGCUAAAUUACUCUAAUACUUUAAUACUAAACAGCCUCUAAUUUUUUAAUCUUUUGAAAUUAUAUUGACCUGUAUUUUCCAUGUUGUGAGUUUUUCUUUUUAUUUUUAUUUCGUUUUUAAUAAAUGCUUAAAUUUUUCAAACUGCAUUAGACUUUAACACGAUUUGAUAAAGGGUACAGCUUCGCGGAUAAAGGGAGAAUAACCCUGUACCACCCUAUACUCGACAGAAUAUAUAAUCUCGAGGUCAUUGCCCGAGCGAUCUUUGGGGGUUCCACCAUGCCUGGAAUGAGGGUGAGGUAACUGGGAAUACUGGGUAGAUAUCGACCACUUUCCCCUAAAAGUUAAAAUGAAAGGAAGCAAUUAAACAUCUUUUCAUGCUUUGCUCAUAAUAUACAUAAAAAAUCUAAAAUGUAUUUAAAAAUUAUAAAAAGCAGAUUGCAAAUGUUUCUAGACGUUAACAUUAGCAUUAAAUGUAAGGAUAUGCUGUAUAAAGAAGAAAAUGUAACAAGUGAAUGUUACAGAAAUUGUGGAUCAAAAUUAUUAUCUAGAAAAGUCGUAAGCUCGAUCAGCAAGAUUAAUCGGCAGUGAUGAUUGUUAGUGUCUCUUGUUUCCUCGGCAACCGUGAGAAGACAAGAUGCAAGGGCGAGGAUUCGAUCUUUUUCGACGUAUGAGACGGUCAAAGGAAGAGGAAGAAGAACAGGAAAAGGAGGAGGAAGAUUGAAGAAGUGUCUUACGGUUGACUGAAAUUGACGAGUACUAACUCCCGUGAAAACAUAAGGGAAAGAGAAAUGGAUGUAUCGAUCUCACCCCUAGGGACUUGGUGGGAUUAGGACAUCACGGUAGCCACCCACGACGAGUCAUGAAGCACCAUGCAGUGGCGGAAGAAGAAGCUUGUAGCCCUUAGCAACGUGUUGCCGUGAACUUGAAAAUCAUACUUUCACAUAUCCUUUUCGAUACACAAUUAAAUUAUUUGCAUCACUGGAAAUUUAUUAUCAUCGAUAAAUUAGCUAGCAAACUAUCGUACUUUAUUGAAAGAUAUUAUAAAUAAAUGUACAUAUCUUUAAUACGUAUAAAAUUCAUCUACUAAUUUCAACAUGUUUGAAAAACAUAAUCUUGUUUAAAUAAUUACAAUAAAUUCGUUUAGGAUAUCAGAUUAUGCUAUUAUUAAAAUAGAAA